UACAGAGGGUGCAAGCGUUGCUCGGAAUCAUUGGGCGUAAAGGGUAGGUAGGUGGUCUCGUUUGUCUAGGGUGAAAGCCAGGGCUUAACCCUGGAAGUGCCCUAGAAACGGCGAGACUAGAGUAUUGGGGAGGGUCGUGGAAUUCCCGGUGUAGUGGUGAAAUGCGUAGAGAUCGGGAGGAACACCUGUGGCGAAGGCGGCUCGCUGGGCCGGUCCUGACGCUGAAACGCGAAGGCGUGGGGAGCGAACGGG
rnacentral:rRNA from 1 species